rnacentral:rRNA from 1 species
CAGGGAUUGCCCUAGUAACGGCGAGUGAAGCGGCAAGAGCUCAAAUUUGAAAUCUGGCCCUCUCAGGGUCCGAGUUGUAAUUUGUAGAGGGCGCUUUGGCGUUGGCCCCGGCCUAAGUUCCUUGGAACAGGACGUCACAGAGGGUGAGAACCCCGUACGUGGCCGCCGGCCUCCGCCGUGUAAAGCCCCUUCGACGAGUCGAGUUGUUUGGGAAUGCAGCUCUAAAUGGGAGGUAAAUUUCUUCUAAAGCUAAAUACUGGCCAGAGACCGAUAGCGCACAAGUAGAGUGAUCGAAAGAUGAAAAGCACUUUGGAAAGAGAGUCAAAAAGCACGUGAAAUUGUUGAAAGGGAAGCGCUUGCAGCCAGACUUGCCUGUAGUUGCUCAUCCGAGCUCCCGCUCGGUGCACUCUUCUGCGGGCAGGCCAGCAUCAGUCCGGGCGGUCGGAUAAAGGCCUCGGGAAUGUAGCUCCCCUCGGGGAGUGUUAUAGCCCGGGGCGCCAUGCGACCAGCCUGGACUGAGGUCCGCGCAUCUGCUAGGAUGCUGGCGUAAUGGCUGUAAGCGGCCCGUCUUGAAACACGGACCAAGGAGUCUAACAUCUAUGCGAGUGUUUGGGUGUCAAGCCCGGGCGCGCAAUGAAAGUGAACGGAGGUGGGAACCCCUCGGGGCGCACCAUCGACCGAUCCUGAUGUCUUCGGAUGGAUUUGAGUAAGAGCAUAGCUGUUGGGACCCGAAAGAUGGUGAACUAUGCCUGAAUAGGGUGAAGCCAGAGGAAACUCUGGUGGAGGCUCGCAGCGGUUCUGACGUGCAAAUCGAUCGUCAAAUUUGGGCAUAGGGGCGAAAGACUAAUCGAACUAUCUAGUAGCUGGUU